UUUUGACAAAGGAGAUGACUACUCUGUGUUUUGAAGGGUUUUUUCCCUCCUUCCCCUCUUCUUUUUUCUACAGCAAUUGUGGGUCCACCCAAGCUGUCCUGGAUGCUCCAGGGUCACAACCUUAGCAUAAGCCUCAUUAUGCCACUCACUCCAUACCGAAAUGAAAAUGGCUCUUACAAGCCAGUCAACGAAGUGCUGUGGACACUGCAGUACCAGCUGAACCUUUAUGAAGAGGACGUGCUUGUCCAGCAAGUGCACUGUGAACAGAGAAGCAAGGAAGCUCCUUGCAUGUUUAGGUACUUGAAACCAAGUACCCAGUACUGUGUCCGGACUGUGAUGGUGAGGAUGCCCAGGGAACGGAGCAGGGAGGCUGCACAGUGCAUUACAACACCAGCCACCCCUGGAGGUGAGAGCUCUCUAGCUGUCUCAGCUGCUGUACUUCCAUCUCAGGGCCCUGAUUCAGAGCGUGAACACAUGUCAGAGGGAGAGGGACGCACAGUUUCUGGUCAGGUUUGGUGACCCAGCAGGACCCUUUUGGGACCCUCCUCCUCUUCUCUUGGAGGACUAAGUUCUCUUGCCAUCUAACUUUGUCUUGCCCUGCACCUCCUGCUUGGAUUGUCCCAGCCUGCCAUGGGACCCCCAAGGAAGAGCUGGCUUAGGGCACGCUGUUGGGGAUGCAAAGUGGGGGGUUCCUCCAACUCUCAACCUGUUAUGACCCCCCUGCAGACUUUCCAUGGGUCCUCCUCGUCGUACUGAGCGCUGUCUUGCUGGUGCUGUGUGUGGCCGGGCUCUGCUUCCUCAGACUAUUUGUGUUCUUGAGACCCUCGGAGACACGCAUCCCAAACUCGCUUGCUAUUUUGAAUGAGGAGCUGACUGUGAACAUCAGGGUGCCCACUCUUGAACUUGAGGGGGACUCACUCACUCUACUCUCGCUGGCUGUGCUUCCCUCCCCUGGACCCUCUGCAGCUGAACAGAAAAAGCCCCAAGUCCAGCAGCUUCUUGGAGAAAGCUUUCCACAGGAGAUGGGUGGCUACUGUGCCAAUGGAUUUAGGCCAAACUGCCCCGAAAGCAAGGUCCUGUCCUUUGCCCCCAGCCAGCUGGGGCAUGUCUUGGACUCUGGGGCCUCCUCACCCCUGGAGGGGCUGGGAGAGGACAGGGAAGCGUGUAAUAGGGAUGAUGUGUUGGCUUUGCCAGUCCAACUGCCCCAUGGUUCAUGGGCGUGUUUGGAGCAGCCAAUGCUGGUGGAACUGAAUGGCAACAGUUACAGGGAUGACGAAGACUGCCAGACAUCUGAGAUGUGGCUUUCUUUGCACCUCCAGCUUUAUUCUAAAUGCCAAUGCCCACUCUUGGGAGUGGGCAGCAGCCUCUCUCUGACUCCACAGGACACAAGUUUCAGCCAGGAGGACCUAAAGGAAAGCGUUGGCACAGCAGAGCCCUGCUGCCAGCCCGGCGUACCGCUCAGCUCUGUGAAGCUGCCAGGCAGUGAGGAAGACAGAGGACACCUUUUCCCUGCUCUCUGUCACCUGCAUGGCCAUGGGGCUGAGUCAGAGUUGGGUGACAGCAACACACAGCAGAGUGACUUGGAUCAGGCAACAUUGGGCUGGCAAAGCAUCCCUCUCCCCAGUUCCUGCGAAGUGCCCUAUUCACCCCUCAACAGCCUGAGGGCAGCCACAUCCUCUGGCUAUGAGAUGCAUCCCCUGGUCACUGAUGAGCCCUAGUGUAAAGAAGUGUAACAGGAGAGCAGGGCUCUCCCAGAUGCACGACUGCCCUUGAGAGCCAGAUUGCAGCCUUAAUGAGUAACUCCAAUGGAGCAAGGAACAUUACCCAAAGCUGACCCAACUGUGAUGGACUGCCUGCUCAGACAUGUGUGUGCCUCUUUGGGGAUGGGACUAGGCCAAGCUUCCUGGGCAGACAGGCUCCAGCGUGCUCUGGGACUGACUGCCAUAGAAAGACAGUGAGGUCAGCAUCUUUUGAGUUUCCCUGUCAGUUUUUGGUCCUUCAUAUAUAUAUGUAUGUAUAUGUAUAUAUAUGUGUGUAUAUGUGUGUGUGUACAUAUAUAUACUUAUAUAAAUAUAUAUUUUUAUAUAUAAACUUCUUCCAUUAUGUUAAAUAGUUUUUUUUUUUUUUUUUGCUUGGCUGCUGUGG
ensembl:lncRNA uncharacterized LOC104149484